UACGAAGGGUGCUAGCGUUGUUCGGAAUCACUGGGCGUAAAGCGCGCGUAGGCGGCUUAACAAGUCAGGGGUGAAAUCCCAGAGCUUAACUCUGGAACUGCCUUUGAAACUGUUAAGCUGGAGUGUCGGAGGGGAUGGCGGAAUUCCUAAUGUAGAGGUGAAAUUCGUAGAUAUUAGGAGGAACACCGGUGGCGAAGGCGGCCAUCUGGACGACAACUGACGCUGAGGCGCGAAAGCGUGGGGAUCAAACAGG
rnacentral:rRNA from 1 species